ensembl:snoRNA
UCCGCCCUUCGAAGCGUUGCAGUCCGACUGUACGUGUUGAGCUUGUGUCUUGAGGGGUGGAGAGUGAAAGGGUUAUGUCUAUGCUGAGGACCCUGAAUGGUGGGUACUUGAAAUGAUCAUAGCUCUGACAUU